UACGAAGGGGGCUAGCGUUGCUCGGAAUCACUGGGCGUAAAGCGCACGUAGGCGGAUUGUUAAGUCAGGGGUGAAAUCCUGGAGCUCAACUCCAGAACUGCCUUUGAUACUGGCGAUCUCGAGUCCGGGAGAGGUGAGUGGAACUGCGAGUGUAGAGGUGAAAUUCGUAGAUAUUCGCAAGAACACCUGCGGCGAAGGCGGGUUGCUGGGCCGACAACUGACGCUGAUGCGCGAAAGCCAGGG
rnacentral:rRNA from 1 species